rnacentral:rRNA from 1 species
GACGAACGCUGGCGGCGUGCUUAACACAUGCAAGUCGAACGGAAAGGCCUGCUUUCCCUUGUGGAUUGCGGGUACUCGAGUGGCGAACGGGUGAGUAACACGUGAGUGAUCUGCCCCCAACUUGGGUAUAAGCCUGGGAAACUGGGUCUAAUUCCCGAUAGGACUGCAGGGUGGUGCCUGUGGUGGAAAACGAUUUUCUAGUGGUUGGGGAUGAGCUCGCGGCCUAUCAGCUUGUUGGUGGGGUAAUGGCCUACCAAGGCGGCGACGGGUAGCCGGCCUGAAAGGGUGGCCGGCCAAUUUGGGACGGAGAUCCGGCCCAGACGCCUCCGGGAGGCAGCAUUGGGGAAAAUGGCACAGGGGGGGGAGGCCUGAUGAGGCGCCGAGGGUGGGGGGAUGCCGGCCUUCGGGUUUUAACUUCCUUCGGCCGGCGGGGAGCCAACUUGGUGGGAAGGGUGGGGAGGUUGUGGGUGGAAGAAGCACCGGUUAACUCCGU